UGUUCUGUAGCUUAGUUGGUUAAAGCGCCGGACUAGCGAUAACGGAGUCGUGGGUUCGACCCACUAAAACAA
rnacentral:tRNA from 1 species